CCUGUGAGCAGAGUACUCCAGCCUGGGCAACAUAGCGAGACCCUGUCUCUAAAAAAAAAGCAAAAGAAAAAAA
rnacentral:sRNA from 1 species